rnacentral:rRNA from 1 species
UACAGAGGUCUCAAGCGUUGUUCGGAUUCAUUGGGCGUAAAGGGUGCGUAGGUGGCGCCAUAAGUCAGGUGUGAAAUCCUGGAGCUCAACUCCAGAACUGCCCUUGAUACUGGAAAGCUUGAGUUCGGGAGAGGUGAGUGGAACUGCGAGUGUAGAGGUGAAAUUCGUAGAUAUUCGGAAGAACACCAGUGGCGAAGGCGGCUCACUGGUCCGGUACUGACGCUGAGGUGCGAAAGCGUGGGGAGCAAACAGG